rnacentral:sRNA from 1 species
GCGGCGGCGACUGCUGCGGUGAAGGAGGAGGAGGAGCCGAGCGGGCGCUGGCACCGAGGCCUGACCAUGGACGAGGAAUACGAUGUGAUCGUGCUGGGGACCGGCCUCACCGAAUGCAUCCUGUCGGGCAUCAUGUCUGUGAACGGGAAGAAGGUGCUGCACAUGGACCGGAACCCCUACUACGGGGGCGAGAGCUCCUCCAUCACACCCCUGGAGGAGCUGUAUAAGCGUUUUCAGUUGCUGGAGGGGCCCCCUGAGUCGAUGGGCCGAGGCCGAGACUGGAACGUUGACCUGAUUCCCAAAUUCCUCAUGGCUAACGGGCAGCUGGUAAAGAUGCUACUGUAUACAGAGGUGACUCGCUACCUGGACUUCAAGGUGGUGGAGGGCAGCUUUGUCUACAAGGGGGGCAAGAUCUACAAAGUGCCGUCCACUGAGACUGAGGCCUUGGCUUCCAAUCUGAUGGGCAUGUUUGAGAAACGGCGCUUCCGCAAGUUCCUGGUGUUUGUGGCAAACUUCGAUGAGAAUGACCCCAAGACCUUUGAGGGCGUUGACCCCCAGACUACCAGCAUGCGUGACGUCUACCGGAAGUUUGAUCUGGGCCAGGAUGUCAUCGAUUUCACUGGCCAUGCCCUGGCGCUCUACCGCACUGAUGAGUGAGGGGAAGCUGGGUGGUGGUAGCCCCCUCGCCCGGCCCGCCCCCGCCCUUCCCACACCUGCCUGCUGUCCCCCUGCCCCGCAUGUCUCUUGUACUCAGCCACCGGCUCACCUAUCACCCUUUCCAUUUCCCCCUUGCAUUUGAUCCUCAUCUUCCCCAGGCCAUUCAGGGUGGUGGGAAGACUGGCCUGGUACCUGGGUGGGGGUAAGUCAGGGGUGCUGCUAUUCCCCCAGCUACCUGGACCAGCCCUGCCUUGAGACCGUCAACCGCAUCAAGUUGUACAGUGAGUCCCUGGCCCGGUAUGGCAAGAGCCCGUAUUUAUACCCGCUCUACGGCUUGGGCGAGCUGCCCCAGGGUUU